CUACGGGGGGCUCCAGUGGGGAAUAUUGCACAAUGGGCGCAAGCCUGAUGCAGCCAUGCCGCGUGUAUGAAGAAGGCCUUCGGGUUGUAAAGUACUUUCAGCGGGGAGGAAGGGAGUAAAGUUAAUACCUUUGCUCAUUGACGUUACCCGCAGAAGAAGCACCGGCUAACUCCGUGCCAGCAGCCGCGGUAAUACCGGAGGGUGCAAGCGUUAAUCGGAAUUACUGGGCGUAAAGCGCACGCAGGCGGUUUGUUAAGUCAGAUGUGAAAUCCCCGGGCUCAACCUGGGAACUGCAUCUGAUACUGGCAAGCUUGAGUCUCGUAGAGGGGGGUAGAAUUCCAGGUGUAGCGGUGAAAUGCGUAGAGAUCUGGAGGAAUACCGGUGGCGAAGGCGGCCCCCUGGACGGAGACUGACGCUCAGGUGCGAAAGCGUGGGGAGCAAACAGGAUUAGAUACCCUCGUAGUC
rnacentral:rRNA from 1 species